rnacentral:lncRNA from 1 species
GGGGCGGAGCCGGAAGUGGGGCGUUGAGGUCUCCACCUCCUCGUCCGUGAGCCGGCCGUUCCCCCGCUUCUGUUCCUAGUCCCCCCGAAGUCACAGCCUGAUUCCCGGAGGCCCGAGCCCUUAGUCUGGGCGGGGUGGCGCGGGCCGGAAGGACGCCAUCCCGGCCUGGGCCAUGGAGGCUCCCGCACCGUCCCUCACGGAGGAGGAUUUGACUGAAGUGAAGAAGGACGUGAGUAGCUCCGCCGGGCUGGGCGCAGCGGGGCGCAGCGGGGCGGGCGGGCGGAGGAAAGCGGAAACCCGGAGCUGAGCGACGGGGAACUUCAGGUCGGAAGAGCGCGGGGUCCUGGCACAGCACGACCUGCCUGCUUCCCGGGAGCUGGCUGGAGACGAUCCACCAGCGACCCGGGAGUCCGCGGUUAAGCCUGUCGGUGGGCUUGGAUGUUUCCUUGCCAUCCGCUCGUCGCUGGUGGCUUUCCAUCCUGCCGAUCCCCCAUCCCACGCCACCGCCGCGGGAGCUGCUAGCCUAGGGAGCCGCCGGAGUGUGCCCACAGCGGGCUUUGGACCAGGCAUCCCCGGGCGUAGAGCAGAUGGGUGAAACUGGUCUCUAUCGGGGGCUGCGGAAAGCUCGCCAGCUGAACGCACGCCCUGGAAUUCCCCGAGUAAUCAGACGCCCACGUAUUUAAAUGAAGGGGGUGUGCGUACUUCUCGCUGAGACUUGGUUCCCAGGUAAACGUUGAAAAUACUCCCGACUAAAUUGGACUCUUCUGCUUAGACCAUGUAGAACUUCACAGACACAGUAAUAUUUGAGGAAAUGGCUUUAACCACAACGUGCUUCGUUUUUUUUUUCCUUCCUUUUAACUUCUUUUGCC